AUUGAACGCUGGCGGCAGGCCUAACACAUGCAAGUCGAGCGGAGCGGCGGAGGGGUGAGUAAUACCUAGGAAUCUGCCUGGUAGUGGGGGAUAAAGUUAGGAACCGGACGCUAAUACCGCAUACUCUCAGAUGAGCCUAGGUCGGAUUAGCUAGUUGGUGAGGUAAUGGCUCACCAAGGCGACGACCCGGAACUGGUCUGAGAGGAUGAUCAGUCACACUGGAACUGAGACACGGUCCAGACUCCUACGGGAGGCAGCAGUGGGGAAUAGUGGACAAGGGGCGAAAGCCUGAUCCAGCCAGGCCGCGUGUGUGAAGAAGGUCUUCGGAUUGUAAAGUACUUUAAGUUGGGAGGCGUUACCGACAGAAUAAGCACCGGCUAACUCUGUGCCAGCAGCCGCGGUAAUUC
rnacentral:rRNA from 1 species